rnacentral:piRNA from 1 species
UUGUGACCUUCAAGGAUGCUGUGC